rnacentral:rRNA from 1 species
GAUGAACGCUGGCGGCGUGCCUAAUACAUGCAAGUCGAGCGAACGGACGAGAAGCUUGUUUUUCUGCUGGUAGCGGCGGACGGGCGAGUAACACGUGGAUAACCUACCUAUUAGACUGGGAGAACUUCGGGAAACCGGUGCUAAUACCGGAUCAUAUUUUGAACCGCAUGGUUCAAGAGUGAAUGACGGCUUUGCUGUCUGUAUUAGAUGGUUCCGCGCUGCAUUAUCUAGUGGGUAAGGUAACGGCACACCAAGGCAACGAUGCGUAGCCGACCUGAGAGGGUGAUCAGCCACACUGGAACUGAGACACGGUCCAGACUCCUACGGGAGGCAGCAGUAGGGAAUCUUCCGCAAUGGGCGAAAGCCUGACGGAGCAACGCCGCGUGAGUGAUGAAGGUCUUCGGAUCGUAAAACUCUGUUAUUGGGGAAGAACAGAUGUGUAAUUAACUGUGCACAUCUUGACGGUACCUAAUCAGAAAGCCACGGCUAACUACGUG